rnacentral:rRNA from 1 species
UACGGAGGGGCGAGCGUUAUUCGGAAUUACUGGGCGUAAAGGGCUCGUAGGCGGCCAACUAAGUCAGACGUGAAAUCCCUCGGCUUAACCGGGGAACUGCGUCUGAUACUGGAUGGCUUGAGGUUGGGAGAGGGAUGCGGAAUUCCAGGUGUAGCGGUAGAAAUGCGUAGAUAUCUGGAGGAACACCGGUGGCGAAGGCGGCAUCCUGGACCAAUUCUGACGCUGAGGAGCGAAAGCCAGGGAGC